rnacentral:rRNA from 1 species
UACGUAGGGUGCGAGCGUUAAUCGGAAUUACUGGGCGUAAAGCGUGCGCAGGCGGUUUGCUAAGACAGGUGUGAAAUCCCCGGGCUUAACCUGGGAACUGCGCUUGUGACUGGCAGGCUAGAGUACGGUAGAGGGGGGUGGAAUUCCUGGUGUAGCAGUGAAAUGCGUAGAUAUCAGGAGGAACACCGAUGGCGAAGGCAGCCCCCUGGGCCUGUACCGACGCUCAUGCACGAAAGCGUGGGGAGCAAACAGGAUUAGAUACCCCGGUAGU